CUCCCAGCACCCAGCCUCCGAGUCAGAUGCCCCCCGCCCUGGUCUCUCACAGCUGUGCUCACUAGGCAAGCCUGGCCGGCCCCUCCCUGGUAGCAGUGAAGCUGUUGAUUAUGUUUGUCGUUGUUGCAUUUCAGUUACACAAGUGUUACCAGAAUGCAGUCUCCUUUAUACAAACUUAAAAGUAUGAGUUUAAGCCUAGUCUCUUGUGCCCUCCACCCCCGCCAUUCCCAGAGGGGACUGCUCUCUCCUGGUGGACACAUUCUACAAUUUCACCAACAUAGACGCCGACACGCGGGCACCUACGUAAACACACAUGUGAUGCUCAUGUAAACAAACAUCCAUGCACACACUGCCACCCAGGUACACACACCCGAGAAUGUGUGUGUCCCUGUACGUGAACCCGAGUGUGCCCACGUACACGUACCCAACUGUCCUCAUGUACACGUACCCGAGUGUGCUCAUGUACACGUACCCGAGUGUGCCCAUGUUCAUGUAUCCGUGUGUGUACGUACCCGAGUGUGUGUAUGUGCCUGUGUGUACGUACUUGAGUUUGUGCCCAUGUACGUGUACCCGAGUGUGUGUACGUGCCUGAGUGUGUGUACGUGCCCAAGCACAGGCACAUUGUCCAGAUCCACAUAACACUCCUUCUUUGCAGUUGCUUCCUCCACACACAGAGUGUCCCCCAUCUCUCCAGGGUACACACUGCAGUGUGGGUGAACGUCAAAAGCCGUGCAGUGAGAGAAGCCAAUCACAGUAGGUCCGUGCCGCCUGACAGUGUUCACAUGGAAGUUCGGAAAAGACGGCUCUGUAGAGACAGACAGAUUUGUGGUUUCCCAGGGUUGGGGGUGACGGUUAGGAGUCAGGGUUUCUUUUUGGGGUGAUGAUAAUGUUCUGUAAUGGAUCGUGGUGACAGGUGCAUCACUGUGAACAUACUAAACGCUAGUGAAUUGUAAGCGUUAGACGGUGAGUUGGAUGGUAUGUGAUUUACAUCUCAAGUCUUAGUCCGUGCGGGCUGCUCUGGCCCAGUUCUGCAGCAGACAUUCACAGCUCACAGUGCUGGAGGCCGCAAGCAGGUCAAGGCAUGGCAGAGUCCCUGUGAGGGCUUCCUGGUCCAUAGAGGGUGCCUCUCCGCUGCGUCCUCACAUGGUGGAAGGGGCUAGGUGGCUCUGGGGCCCUUUAUAAGGCACUGAUGCCGCUCGUGAGGCUCCACACUCAAGACCUCAUGACCUCAUCACCUUCCACCUCCUGAUCCCAUCACCUGGGGGUGAGGAUUUAAACAUGUGAAUUCUUGAUAGACAGAAACGUUGAAUCCACAACUCAAUGAAGCUGUUUAAUCAAAAAAAAAAAAAAAAGAA
rnacentral:lncRNA from 1 species